rnacentral:lncRNA from 1 species
UGAGCAGAAGCCAACUCGCACUGUUAUCAGCCACCAAGAUCAAGGAGCCGUGUGUUACUCAGCAUCAUCGUGGCCAGUGCUGACUGCUACGCAUCUCCGUAAACAGACGGGGCUUCAGGUCCGAUGCUCACGCGCGGUGACAGCUGACCCAGGCACAGCCGCGGUGCCCACACUUGAUCCGCUGGCCCAGCCCCCGAGGCUCUGAGUCUCUGGCGUCCCCGAGGCUGCGGCCUCAGCCGAUCCGGCCC